GAUGAACGCUGGCGGCGUGCCUAAUACAUGCAAGUCGAACGAGGUGCUUUUGUAGCAAUACGAGAGUAUCCUAGUGGCGAACGGGUGGGUAACGCGUGGAUGACCUGCCCCAAAGUGUGGGAUAACAGUCCGAAAGGAUUGCUAAUACCUCAUGUGGUUAUCGGUUUUAGAAAGCGAUAACUAAAGCAGCAAUGCGCUUUGGGAGGGAUCUGCGUCCCAUCAGCUAGUUGGUGAGGUAACGGCUCACCAAGGCGACGACGGGUAGGGGACCUGAGAGGGUGGCCCCCCACAAUGGAACUGAAACACGGUCCAUACACCUACGGGUGGCAGCAGUAGGGAAUAUUGCUCAAUGGGCGAAAGCCUGAAGCAGCAACGCCGCGUGUGCGAUGAAGGCCUCGGUCGUAAGCACUUUCUUAAGAGAUGAGAAAGGACAGUAUCAUAGGAAUAAGUACUCGGCUAACUACGUAGCCAGCAG
rnacentral:rRNA from 1 species